rnacentral:lncRNA from 1 species
AGAAUAAUGAGUAAGUAUGUGUUUUAAUAUAUUUUACACAAAACAACAAAUCUAUUUUUCCUAUGAACUUUAAAAAAAAAAAACAAGGUCGUUUUCAAUCAAACAUUCCAAACGAAUAAUUUGAAGAACAUCUAACGUGAACAAGAAAAGUAGGUAGGUCAUUUCCCCAUAAAUAUCGAACCGUAAGAAAUUGCAGCAAGCGCGAAGAUGCACUUGUUAAGAAGAUAGUUAAGCAAUCAUCAUAAUUCAAGAAAGAGAUUCAGAAUCGAAAGAAGGUUUAAGAUUACCUCAAAUCGGAGAAUUAGAUGCAGCAGCUAGCUAGCGAUAUGAAUGUUUGCAGAAACAUGAAAACUAUUAUUAUUUAUUAUUAGACGACUUAACUAAGAGUACAUAACCAAACAAGCUACAUCACAACACAGCACACAAACCACAACCAUCUUUGACAGAUAAACAUAAAUAACCAAAUACAAAUUCCAACAAACCAUAAUACAUAAAUCAUACGGGAACAGACGGGACAAGAAGGUUAAGCAUAGUUUUUCCAAAGCCAGUUAAGAAUGUAUGUUCUAUGAAAGAUAUGUUGGCAGCAUUGCAACCCAAGAAGAUCAUUGACCGGAGUGUCAGUGAUAUCGUCUAAGCAAAUACAACAUUCUGUGAAAACAAGCGCUACAGGUGGAUUUUCACGCCAAUCUUUAUUGACCCACCUAUUAUCCUCUCUCAAAAGUUGUAUUGUGCCAAAAGCUUCAUUGCCUUCAACAAUGAAAGGGAUAAAGUUGUUGAAGUGAGUAUCAUCCACGUAAUUGGAGAGAACAGUUGCGGUAUCAUUCCAAUUCCAAUCUAAAGCAUCAAACUGGUGGGGUAUGAUUCUUCUGUUUUCCGUCGGUGGGUACUCCGCAAUGCAAUGACGAAGGGAAGCUCGGUUUGUCAUGGCAUGUACAGGUAGAUGGGCGAAAAAAUCAAACAUUUCUUCAUCCUCUCUCAUCUGGCCUAAUAACACAUCUAUACCUUCUAUAGGACGAUGAAUCAUUUUCGUAUAUGAUAUUCCCGUUACUUGAUAACCAGGUAAGGUGAUAUCCAUCUCCAAAUCAUUAUUGGAACUAACAUCAGUUCCAUAACAUUCCACAACAUGAGAGAUGUCUCGCCAUGCCAUAAAAACAUGUAAUAAACAAAGAAAAUUAAGAAAAAUGAGUAAGUAUGUGUUUUAAUAUAUUUUACACAAAACAACAAAUCUAUUUUUCCUAUGAACUUAAAAAAAAAAAAAAACAAGGUCGUUUUCAAUCAAACAUUCCAAACGAAUAAUUUGAAGAACAUCUAACGUGAAUAAGAAAGGUAGGUAGGUCAUUUCUCCAUAAAUAUCGAACCGUAAGAAAUUGCAGCAAGCGCGAAGAUGAUCUUGUUAAGAAGAAUGUUAAGCAAUCAUCAUAAUUCAAGAAAGAUAUUCAGAAUCGAAAGAAGGUUUAAGAUUACCUCAAAUCGGAGAAUUAGAUGCAGCAGCUAGCUAGCGAUCUGAAUGUUUGCAGAAACAUGAAAACUAUUAUUAUUUAUUAUUAGACGACUUAACUAAGAGUACAUAACCAAACAAGCUACAUCACAACACAACACACAAACCACUAACCAUCUUUGACAGAUAUAACAUAAAUAACCAAAUACAAAUUCCAACAAACCAUAAUACAUAAAUCAUACGGGAACAGACGGGACAAGAAGGUUAAGCAUAGUUUUUCCAAAUCCAGUUAAGAAUGCAUGUUCCAUGGAAGACAUGUUGGCAGCAUUGCAACCCAAGAAGAUCAUUGACCGGAGUGUCAGUGAUAUCGUCUAAGCAAAUACAACAUUCUGUGAAAACAAGCGCUACAGGUGGAUUUUCAUGCCAAUCUUUAUUGACCCACCUAUUAUCCUCUCUCAAAGGUUGUAUUGUGCCAAAAGCUUCAUUGCCUUCAACAAUGAAAGAGAUAAAGUUGUUGAAGUGAGUAUCAUCCACGUAAAUGGAGAGAACAGUUGCGGUAUCUUUCCAGUUCCAAUCUAAACCAUCAAACUGGUGGGGUAUGAUUCUUCUGUUUUCUGUCGGUGGGUACUCCGCAAUGCAAUGACGAAGGGAAGCUCGGUUUGUCAUGGCAUGUACAGGUAGAUGGGCGAAAAAAUCAAACAUUUCUUCAUCCCCUCUCAUCUGGCCUAAUAACACAUCUAUACCUUCUAUAGGACGAUGAAUCAUUCUCGUAAAUGAUAUUUCCGUUACUUGAUAACCAGGUAAGGUGAUAUCCAUCUCUAAAUCAUUAUUGGAACUAACAUCAGUUCCAUAACAUUCCACAACAUGAGAGAUGUCUCGCCAUGCCAUAAUAACCUGUAAUAAACAAUGAAAAUGAAGAAAAAUGAGUAAGUAUGUGUUUUAAUAUAUUUUACACAAAACAACAAAUCUAUUUUUCCUAUGAACUUAAAAAAAAAAACAAGGUCGUUUUUAAUCAAACAUUCCAAACGAAUAAUUUGAAGAAGAUCUAACGUGAACAAGAAAAGUAGGUAGGUCAUUUCCCCAUAAAUAUCGAACCGUAAGAAAUUGCAGCAAGCGCGAAGAUGCACUUGUUAAGAAGAUUGUUAAGCAAUCAUCAUAAUUCAAGAAAGAGAUUCAGAAUCGAAAGAAGGUUUAAGAUUACCUCAAAUCGGAGAAUUAGAUGCAGCAGCUAGCUAGCGAUCUGAAUGUUUGCAGAAACAUGAAAACUAUUAUUAUUUAUUAUUAGACGACUUAACUAAGAGUACAUAACCAAACAAGCUACAUCACAACACAUCACACAAACCACUUACCAUCUUUGACAGAUAUAACAUAAAUAACCAAAUACAAAUUCCAACAAACCAUAAUACAUAAAUCAUACGGGAACAGACGGGACAAGAAGGUUAAGCUUAGUUUUUCCAGACCCAGUUAAGAAUGCAUGUUCCAUGGAAGACAUGUUGGCAGCAUUGCAACCCAAGAAGAUCAUUGACCGGAGUGUCAGUGAUAUCGUCUAAGCAAAUACAACAUUCUGUGAAAACAAGCGCUACAUGUGGAUUUUCACGCCAUUCUUCAUUGACCCACCUAUUCUCCUCUCUCAGAAGUUGUAUUGUGCCAAAAGCUUCAUUGCCUUCAACAAUGAAAGGGAUAAAGUUGUUGAAGUGAGUAUCAUCCACGUAAUUGGAGAGAACAGUUGCGGUAUCAUUCCAAUUCCAAUCUAAAGCAUCAAACUGGUGGGGUAUGAUUCUUCUGUUUUCCGUCGGGGGUACUCCGCAAUGCAAUGACGAAGGGAAGCUCGGUUUGUCAUGGCAUGUACAGGUAGAUGGGCGAAAAAAUCAAACAUUUCUUCAUCCUUUCUCAUCUGGCCUAAUAACACAUCUAUACCUUCUAUUGGACGAUGAAUCGUUCUCGUAAAUGAUAUUCCCGUUACUUGAUGACCAGGUAAGGUGAUAUCCAUCUCCAAAUCAUUAUUGGAACUAACAUCAGUUCCAUAACAUUCCACAACAUGAGAGAUGUCUCGCCAUGCCAUAAAAACAUGUAAUAAACAAAGAAAAUUAAGAAAAAUGAGUAAGUAUGUGUUUUAAUAUAUUUUACACAAAACAACAAAUCUAUUUUUCCUAUGAACUUAAAAAAAAAAAAAAAACAAGGUCGUUUUCAAUCAAACAUUCUAAACGAAUAAUUUGAAGAACAUCUAACGUGAAUAAGAAAGGUAGGUAGGUCAUUUCUCCAUAAAUAUCGAACCGUAAGAAAUUGCAGCAAGCGCGAAGAUGAUCUUGUUAAGAAGAAUGUUAAGCAAUCAUCAUAAUUCAAGAAAGAUAUUCAGAAUCGAAAGAAGUUUAAAGAUUACCUCAAAUCGAAGAAUUAGAUGCAGCAGCUAGCUAGCGAUCUGAAUGUUUGCAGAAACAUGAAAACUAUUAUUAUUUAUUAUUAGACGACUUAACUAAGAGUACAUAACCAAACAAGCUACAUCACAACACAACACACAAACCACUAACCAUCUUUGACAGAUAUAACAUAAAUAACCAAAUACAAAUUCCAACAAACCAUAAUACAUAAAUCAUACGGGAACAGACGGGACAAGAAGGUUAAGCAUAGUUUUUCCAGACCCAGUUAAGAAUGCAUGUUCCAUGAAAGACAUGUUGGCAGCAUUGCAACCCAAGAAGAUCAUUGACCGGAGUGUCAGUGAUAUCGCCUAAGCAAAUACAACAUUCUGUGAAAACAAGCGCUACAUGUGGAUUUUCACGCCAUUCUUCAUUGACCCACCUAUUAUCCUCUCUCAGAAGUUGUAUUGUGCCAAAAGCUUCAUUGCCUUCAACAAUGAAACGGAGAAAGUUGUUGAAGUGAGUAUCAUCCACGUAAUUGGAGAGAACAGUUGCGGUAUCAUUCCAGUUCCAAUCUAAAGCAUCAAACUGGUGCUGUAUGAUUCUUCUGUUUUCCGUCGGUGGGUACUCCGCAAUGCAAUGACGAAGGGAAGCUCGAUUUGUCAUGGCAUGUACAGGUAGAUGGGCGAAAAAAUCAAACAUUUCUUCAUCCUCUCUCAUCUGGCCUAAUAACACAUCUAUACCUUCUAUAGGACAAUGAAUCGUUCUCGUAAAUGAUAUUCCCGUUACUUGAUAACCAGGUAAGGUGAUAUCCAUCUCCAAAUCAUUAUUGGAACUAACAUCAGUUCCAUAACACUCUACAACAUGAGAGAUGUCUCGCCAUGCCAUUAUAACCAGUAAUAAACAAAGAAAAUGAAGAAAAAUGAGUAAGUAUGUGUUUUAAUAUAUUUUACACAAAACAACAAAUCUAUUUUUCCUAUGAACUUAAAAAAAAAAAAACAAACAAGGUCGUUUUCAAUCAAACAUUUCAAACGAAUAAUUUGAAGAACAUCUAACGUGAACAAGAAAAGUAGGUAGGUCAUUUCUCCAUAAAUAUCGAACCGUAAGAAAUUGCAGCAAGCGCGAAGAUGCACCUGUUAAGAAGAUAGUUAAGCAAUCAUCAUAAUUCAAGAAAGAGAUUCAGAAUCGAAAGAAGGUUUAAGAUUACCUCAAAUCGGAGAAUUAGAUGCAGCAGCUAGCUAGCGAUCUGAAUGUUUGCAGAAACAUGAAAACUAUUAUUAUUUAUUAUUAGACGACUUAACUAAGAGUACAUAACCAAACAAGCUACAUCACAACACAGCACACAAACCACUAACCAUCUUUGACAGAUAUAACAUAAAUAACCAAAUACAAAUUCCAACAAACCAUAAUACAUAAAUCAUACGGGAACAGACGGGACAAGAAGGUUAAGCAUAGUUUUUCCAGACCCAGUUAAAAAUGCAUGUUCCAUGGAAGACAUGUUGGCAGCAUUGCAACCCAAGAAGAUCAUUGACCGGAGUGUCAGUGAUAUCGUCUAAGCAAAUACAACAUUCUGUGAAAACAAGCGCUACAUGUGGAUUUUCACGCCAUUCUUCAUUGACCCACCUAUUAUCCUCUCUCAGAAGUUGUAUUGUGCCAAAAGAUUCAUUGCCUUUAACAAUGAAAGGGAUAAAGUUGUUUAAGUGAGUAUCAUCCACGUAAUUGGAGAGAACAGUUGCGGUAUCAUUCCAAUUCCAAUCUAAAGCAUCAAACUGGUGGGGUAUGAUUCUUCUGUUUUCCGUCGGCGGGUACUCCGCAAUGCAAUGACGAAGGGAAGCUCGGUUUGUCAUGGCAUGUACAGGUAGAUGGGCGAAAAAAUCAAACAUUUCUUCAUCCUCUCUCAUCUGGCCUAAUAACACAUCUAUACCUUCUAUAGGACGAUGAAUCAUUCUCGUAAAUGAUAUUCCCGUUACUUGAUAACCAGGUAAGGUGAUAUCCAUCUCCAAAUCAUUAUUGGAACUAACAUCAGUUCCAUAACACUCCACAACAUGAGAGAUGUCUCGCCAUGCCAUAAUAACCUGUAAUAAACAAAGAAAAUGAAGAAAAAUGAGUAAGUAUGUGUUUUAAUAUAUUUUACACAAAACAACAAAUCUAUUUUUCCUAUGAACUUAAAAAAAAAAAAAACAAGGUCGUUUUCAAUCAAACAUUCCAAACGAAUAAUUUGAAGAACAUCUAACGUGAACAAGAAAAGUAGGUAGGUCAUUUCCCCAUAAAUAUCGAACCGUAAGAAAUUGCAGCAAGCGCGAAGAUGCACUUGUUAAGAAGAUAGUUAAGCAAUCAUCAUAAUUCAAGAAAGAGAUUCAGAAUCGAAAGAAGGUUUAAGAUUACCUCAAAUCGGAGAAUUAGAUGCAGCAGCUAGCUAGCGAUAUGAAUGUUUGCAGAAACAUGAAAACUAUUAUUAUUUAUUAUUAGACGACUUAACUAAGAGUACAUAACCAAACAAGCUACAUCAC